UGGAUCAAAAUAUACCUAUAGGUGGCUGCACUUGUACAGAGUGGCAGAGAUGCAGGUUGGCGAUGACGGCAACGAAGUACGAUGGAAUUGCAGCGAGAGGAGAAAUGGUGACCGAACUCGACAAUGGCAGGCAGUGAAGAGACGGGCAAUAACGGUGAUGGUGUAGUGACGGCAAAACAGCGAAGACACUUGUCCCUGAGCUGAGUAGUGGCAACAACGAGAAGUGUUAAAGCAGCAGUGGACGGGGUAUACCAAAGGUGCUAACGGGAGGUGGGUCGGUGUUGUCAAGGGCGAAACUGAUUGAUGGGGGAGACAUGGUUUAUUGGGCAGGAUUUUUGUAUUGAAUAAUAGGCUGCCGAUAGUUUUGUAAGAGGGGCAAAGGUAACAUAUUGGGCUUCUACGUGUAGUGAGCUGCUGGUAUAUAAUGGUUUGCUUGCUGUAAAUGUAAUUAGGGCACGGCGGGUGUAGUGAAGGGAUACAAUAGGUUUGUUUGGGAUGAUAUUUUGGGAUAAGGCUGGUGAUGUUGGGGUAAAAACGAAUACAGG
rnacentral:lncRNA from 1 species